rnacentral:lncRNA from 13 species
UAUUGGUCUUACAUUCUGCACAGGGGCAUAACAAAUGUCUAUUCUGGGGCCCAGGCUUUAGGGAGUUCAGGAUUUUGUAAGAACACAUAUCCACACACCAUAAACAUACACUUAUUAAAGGAUAUGUGUGCUCUGAUGUUAUUCAGAAUCAAGGACUUAGCAGGGGUAGAGUCUGAGUCAUAACUCCAAAUGUUCCCUGCCAUAGCCAACAACAUUCCAGAAACCCGGGGGACAACCCUUCUCUAGGAGUUUUGCCCUAUGGCCUAGAAAUAAAAGACAACUGUGCUUCCAUAGCAUGAAAAUGUUUUGCAUGGAUAAAUAUGAAGAUGAACACUGCUUCGGAAAGCAAGCAGAAUCUGAACAGUAGAAACACACAGAAUGAAUCAUCGGAUUCUUUUUCACUUAUUUUCUUCCCUAUUGGACCAGAUAUCUUCUUUUUGCCCUUCCGUAAAGACUUCCCACCCAUCUCCCUGCUGCUCUUUGCCAUCGCAGGCUAACCUGUUUUGGAAGGAUUUGAAAACUUAUUCCCACACAAAAUGUUUCACGUGGAUAUUCAUGGUUGUCAAACUUAGAAGCGACCACGAAGUCUGCCAGUAUAAAUAAAUUAGGGUACAUCCAAAUAAUGCGAUAUUAUUCAGCACUAAAAAAGAAAUGAGCUAUCAAGCCAUGAAAAGAAAUGGAGGAAACUUAAGUGUACAUUACUAAGUAAAAGAACUCAGCUGAAAAAGGCUACCUACUAUAUGAUUCCACCUACGUGACAUUCUGGAAAAAGCAAAGCUAUGGAGACAAUAAAAGAAUUCAUGGCUGUCA